rnacentral:rRNA from 1 species
UUACAUCCCGGGCUACACACGUGCUACAAUGGCAGGUACAGAGGGCUGCGAAGCCGCGAGGUGGAGCGAAUCCCAGAAAACCUGUCUCAGUCCGGAUUGAAGUCUGCAACUCGACUUCAUGAAGGCGGAAUCGCUAGUAACCGCGAAUCAGCAGGUCGCGGUGAAUACGUUCCCGGGCCUU